rnacentral:rRNA from 1 species
UGGGGAAUAUUGCACAAUGGGCGCAAGCCUGAUGCAGCCAUGCCGCGUGUGUGAAGAAGGCCUUCGGGUUGUAAAGCACUUUCAGCGAGGAGGAAGGGUUCGGUGUUAAUAGCACUGUUCAUUGACGUUACUCGCAGAAGAAGCACCGGCUAACUCCGUGCCAGCAGCCGCGGUAAUACGGAGGGUGCAAGCGUUAAUCGGAAUUACUGGGCGUAAAGCGCACGCAGGCGGUUUGUUAAGUCAGAUGUGAAAUCCCCGAGCUUAACUUGGGAACUGCAUUUGAAACUGGCAAGCUAGAGUCUUGUAGAGGGGGGUAGAAUUCCAGGUGUAGCGGUGAAAUGCGUAGAGAUCUGGAGGAAUACCGGUGGCGAAGGCGGCCCCCUGGACAAAGACUGACGCUCAGGUGCGAAAGCGUGGGGAGCAAACAGG